UGGGACAUUUGAGUUACAAGCUGAACUAUCC
rnacentral:piRNA from 2 species